GCCCUGGGCAAAUCACUUCUCUUCUCUGUGCCUCGGUCACCUCAUCUGUAAAAUGGCGAUCGAGACCAUUGAGAUGUGGGGCACCCUGAUGAUGUCGUGUCCACCCCGGCGCUUAAAACAGUGCUCGGCGCGUAGUAAGCGAUUAACCGGUAAUUAUCACUACCUGAGCCCUCGGCAGACAGAGCACGCGACCGGGAUGCUGGGGUCCCAGUGCCAACUCCUCCAGCGGGCUGCUGUGGAAACACGGAUUGAACGAGACCUUUGAAAGCACUACGGAUGCUUAAAAGAAGGAACGUUCCCUAACGGCUUUCAACCUUUCGUUGUGCGGGGAAAAAACGCUUACGGUUUCUGAAUUUACGUCCCGUGGGUUUCAUGUCGUCUCAGAAACGGGAAGCGAUCGGAGUGGUGAAGCGUGAACGCGUGCCGGGCUGCAACGUGUUCCGAUUUUAUUACUGAAAAGCAAAUGCGUUUGUGAAACAAAUGGGGCGGCUAAAAAUUCCUUAAAACUGGAAGAUGUCGACCGUCUCUGCUGCCAAGUUUAGAAACCGGUGACUCACAUGCCUAUGUUAAACCUACCCCUGUUUCCCUUCCUUAACUGGGAACCCCGAUGCUUCGUCAGAAACUUUUCGAAAAAGAUUCUGUCGGUCAAGAAAAGCUGAGUGGGAAUUGAUGGAUUGAAUUUUCAGUAAACCUUAGCGCUGUUUUAGGAUAUGUCAGAGAAAAUUGUUCAUAAUCUGGAGGGUUGAAUUCUUAGUUCCAUAAAGUAAUAACCACAUAGCUCUUAAAGAAAAGUUUAAAA